rnacentral:rRNA from 1 species
UGAAUGGUUUGACGAGAGCUAUGCUGUCUCUUUUGGAAUAUUUAAAAAUUAACUUUUAGGUGAAGAGGCCUAAAUUUGUUUAAGGGACAAGAAGACCCUGUUGAGCUUUAGUGAAAUUAUAAGUGUAAUGAACCUUGUGAAGCUUGCUUUACCAGUUAUUAUGUAAUUUUUAUAAUAAUAGGCUUGUAAUUAAUCUUUAGUUGGGGCGACUGAGGAACAUGUAAAGCUUCCUUAAUUUUAUAUAUAUUAAUGUUAUAUUGUAAGUUUUUAAAUGUUUUUGUAUUAUUUUGAUCCAAUUUGUUUUGAUUAAAAGAAAAAGUUACCACAGGGAUAACAGCGUAAUCUUUCUGGAGAGAUCUAAUCAAAAGAAGGGUUUGCGACCUCGAUGUUGGACUAAGAUAUCCUAAGGGUGCAGAAGCUCUUAAAGGUUGGUCUGUUCGACCAUUAAAAUCUU